GAUGAACGCUGACAGAAUGCUUAACACAUGCAAGUCAACUUGAACUUCGGUUUGGGUGGCGGACGGGUGAGUAACGCGUAAAGAACUUGCCUCACAGCUAGGGACAACAUUUGGAAACGAAUGCUAAUACCUGAUAUUAUGACUUUAGGGCAUCCUAGAAUUAUGAAAGCUAUAUGCGCUGUGAGAGAGCUUUGCGUCCCAUUAGCUAGUUGGAGAGGUAACGGCUCACCAAGGCGAUGAUGGGUAGCCGGCCUGAGGGGGUGAACGGCCACAAGGGGACUGGGACACGGCCCUUACUCAUACGGGAGGCAGCAGUGGGGAAUAUUGGACGAUGGACCAAGAGUCUGAUCCAGCAAUUCUGUGUGCACGAUGAAGUUUUUCGGAAUGUAAAGUGCUUUCAGUUGGGAAGAAAAAAAUGACGGUACCAACAGAAGAAGUGACGGCUAAAUACGUG
rnacentral:rRNA from 1 species